rnacentral:rRNA from 1 species
UACCGGCGGCUCGAGUGGUGGCCACUAUUACUGGGCUUAAAGCGUCCGUAGCUGGAUUGUUAAGUCUCUUGGGAAAUCUACCGGCUUAACCGAUAGGCGUUCAAGGGAUACUGGCAAUCUAGGGACCGGGAGAGGUGAGAGGUACUCCAGGGGUAGGAGUGAAAUCCUGUAAUCCUUGGGGGACCACCUGUGGCGAAGGCGUCUCACCAGAACGGCUCCGACAGUGAGGGACGAAAGCUGGGGGAGCAAACCGG